GGUCGUUGGCGGCGGCGCGUUUAUUUUCAUUCAUUCAUUUGCCUGGCUCCUUUCACUCGGCCCGUCGUGCCCGAACCGAACCCAAUUCCGAGUCCAACUGGGCCGCGCGCGCGCCGCACCGUCGGUUCAUUAGUCCGAAAUCAGUGGUUCGCCCUUCGCCGUGGGAAUAUGUGCCCGUCCGCGUCCGAGCUCCGACCGCCACCGCCGACCGAGAUCCGCUCAUCGCUCCCUCCCCAAGCCUCCUGACACCCCCUCAACCAACCCCAACGGAGCCCACCCUCUCCCUCUCAUCCGCUUAUCGAGGUGUAAACUCUCCUCCUUACGCAGUUGAUAACGCGAACGUUGUUCGUUGGUCAUUCACCUCGGCGAGCGCCGGAAAAUUUUGAAUCCUACAACCCCGAUCCGAUUUCUCAUCCUUACACUCAUUCUUACUCUACUUGCUCGCUUUAUUUACUCUAUCGAGUUUAACUUCAACGUUUUUUGUUGAUACUUCGCCGCCGCCGGGAAAAAAUUGAAAAAUAUUGAAAAAUCUGGCUCCCAAGAACCCAGAUACCGCCCUCCCUUAUCUUUACAUUAUUUUUCAAGUGUAGAUUUUUUGCUAACCUUAGUUGAAUAAGCUUAACUUAGACGUCGUUCGAUAGUGUUAUUUUUUUUUCUUUUUUUUUUUUUCAUAAAGGUUUAAAAAUUCGGUACCACACAAGACCCCCUAUCACUAUUCCUUAUCAUCACGCAAGUGUAAUCCUAUACAUUUUCGCUUUACUUAGUCGAUAAGCUCAACUUAAACAUCGUUCGCUAGUGAUUCACUUCGGUAAGUGUAAUUCAAAAUCUUUCAAACGCAGUACCAUUAUCAUCAGAUCGAAUCGUAGCUCUGAUCACGUCCUCGCCUUAUUCAGUGCAUAAUCGUACUUUUUUGCUUGACCAAGUUGAUUAACUCAACUUGAAAAUUGUUCGUAAGUGGCCCGCUUUGGUGCGUGUUACAAAUUUCGGAUCCGAGGAAAGGAGGUUACAGCCGACACGGUGUGCGGUGCCUUAAAGAGAGAUUCUCUCGCCACGUCUCACGUCAAAGAUUGUUCCUACCAACUGCUGAGAUUUAAUUCUGAUUCGGCUCUGAUCCUCCUCGUUUCAACAAAUUUGUGAUUGUGUAUCUGGGCCUCUGUAUAGCGUGCUACCUUUGCACACAGAGCCAACGAUCUCCUUUUCAGGCAUCGAUCUGAGUGGCAGCUGACUUGAAUCAAUCGGUGGUGGACGGCGGUUGGUCGGUUGGGACGGCCCAAGAUGCCCGAUGGUUGUCCGCUGACGAGCGACAUCAACAACAACAACCGGAGUGGAAGCGGCCACGGCAACUGCAGCCGCUGCGCCAGCAACGCUUGCGGCAACACCAAGUGCAACAGCGGGGCCUGCUAUGGCCAAACGCCCGGCGCCGCCCAUCAAAACGGCGGCGGCUCAGCUUACGCGGGCGCCGCCUCGCAGGGAGGCAAGUCUACAACUCAAUGGACUACUAGACAAGGGGGCGUGGGGGGUCGCAACAACGCAUGCGGCGGUGCCGGGUCCGGUAUGGGAUCUUCGGGCAAGAGAGUCCAGGUCACGGCGAAAAUCCUCUUCGGCUCUGUCUCGGCGAUAUCCAACAUGAAGCAUUCGGAGAAGCUCCACAGAAAGAGGUCCCAGUGACUUCCAAGCAUCGCCAAACCACCCAAAACUUUCAACGAAACAGGGUCCGUGGCGAAUGGUGCGAAGGUUCUGGAGAUCUGCUUUAGCUUCUGCCGCUUAGUGACGCUCCGAGCGUCUCUCACUCCGCUUAGCACUCACUCUCACUCCCUGGCAGCGGCAGCCCCCUCUGGCUCCCUCUAACCGUCGUCGGAUGAUUCUACCUCGUCGGCACUGCUAAAUCGGCUUCACCCACGUCCAGGUCCACGGGCCUCUCCAUCAAAUAAGGACACAGACUUUGCCCGCAGCGAAGAAGAGGAGGCAUUUAAGAAAUUGAUUUACUCAUUGACAAUCCUCUCAAGAUCCAGCUUCGUGAAACAAUUGGUGCUCCGACAUUUUUUUCAACUCACACACGAACAACGAAUCAAUCUUAACUGCGAUAAGAAAAAGUUCAUUGAAAGCAACCAAGGAGGAAUACUGUGUUGCAACAACAUGAAUUAUUUGUUCAGCAAUUGAUAAAAAAACACUGUUGGAUGAUUUUUUAACGGAUUUGUUAUAAUUGUUAAAAUCACUAUGUUUUAAAUUAGCCUCUGAUGUAUAUUUAUAAUUUCAUUUCCGACACGAAAAUAAACAUUUAGGGUGAUAUUUUUAGAGCUAAAAUUAGGCUGUGCUCGUUCAAGUUUGUUUGUUUUUCAUGCUCUCCUGCUUUUACAUUGUGUACAUAACGUUACAUUGUGUUACAUUGUGUACGGCAGAGACCACGAUUGGUAGUAAUUUUGAUGAAAAUAUAAAAACUUCCCCACAAAAAAGGACCAAUGUAAACAGCUCUUCGAAACUUAUUGUUUGCUAGUCUAAAGUCACUCACACUCUUAACUUUUACACUCAAAUUCGAUUGCUUUAACUGUGACCUGUCGUGUGAAGUCAAGACACCCAACUGAUCGGUGGCGUUAUCUGACUGAAAAUCUAGACAAAGAAGUGGCAGAACUGGAGAGAAUUUGACGGGAACGUGCCAAGUCACAUCAAAUUUGGAAAAUAGGGUUGAAGUUUUAUUCCCUCGUGAGACUCGUCAAUGUUAGGGACGAAGUUUAACAACCAUUCUCACGUUCAAAAUAUUUGUUCUCGAAUUUAAGAUUUUGACAGGAAAAAACUUACAACUAUUUGUGUAAUGUAUUCAAAACCAAUCCCAACUAAUUUUUCGCCAAACUGCGACUUAAUGCGCUCUGCUAAACUUUGUUUUGUUGACAAGGAGGGGAUUUUGGAAGUUAGGCAUAUUUCCGAGGUAGACCAUAAAACACCCUCCAUGCAGCAAAAGUUAUCCUUUCGAAGAUAUCUGGACUUUAUUUUGCAAUGAGGAACUAAUAUUUCUGACUCAUCUGUAAAAGCACCUAUCUGCAUAAGGAAAACUAGAGCACAUGCUUGGUUCUAAAAUAAGUUGGUAUAGUAGUUCCUCAUUGCAAAAUGCAAUCCAUCCGUCUUACUCUGCAACGUUUCUGUCUGCCUAUCUUACCGCGCAGUAAAUUGUGUGAGGCUACAACCUGCUGAGUAAGUCGUUUCUCUUUACUCUGUCUUCCUUUUGUUACAAUUUUAUCAGUAAUGGUAAAUGGAAAAUAUAAAAUCGAUAAUCUACUGCCAAAUUUCUUUAAGAGGCUACAGUUUCAAAACGUGUGCUCAAAAACAUCCCCGCAGUCGAUAUCGGAAUGUUUUUAAGAAAAAAGUAUGUUAAAGAAUCCUGGCGUCAAGCCAACUCAUUUCACUUUUAGAAUGCGUUUUGAAAAAUAACACCCUCACCUCUUAAGAGAGAAGUACGAAACAUCGCAUCUGCUGCACUAAGAAGUUGGUUCUGCGUUGUUUGAAUAGACUGCAAUUCCAAUCUGCUCACAGCACGAGCGAAAAUCGAAGCUUUCAGUAGGAUUACCGUUUUUUUUUAAAAGAGAUAUUUGGUACAAACUUCUUGUCGUUUAGUUGAUUGAAAAGCCAUUUAGAAAAACAGUUUCAUUCGUUCACUGUCGAAAACUGACGUUAUUCUCGAAUAAAAACAACGCCUAAGGGUAGUUUUUCCGGAGCGCAUAUAGUGUAUAUAAUUAUGUGAUUAUCAAAACAAAACAAGUUGUGGGUUAUAAUUGAUCGCAUGCUUUUAUAGAUCUUGCCCCUUCUUAUCCUAUGAAAUUGCAAAUUUAAUUGUUAAAACUACUUAUGAAAAGCUUUUUCACCAAAAUUGUAUUCAUUUAGAAAAUGAAUUCCUGUAACUCUAUGUUAAUUCCUGUUCUUUAUGUGAUUGUUAAAUUAUUAAUUCUGUUAUUACGUAAAUAAAUCUGCACAUACUAAAACUUC